rnacentral:rRNA from 1 species
UACGUAGGGGGCUAGCGUUGUCCGGAAUCAUUGGGCGUAAAGCGCGCGUAGGUGGCCCGGUAAGUCCGCUCUGAAAGUCAAAGGCUCAACCUUUGAAAGCGGGUGGAUACUGCCAGGCUAGAGUCCGGAAGAGGCGAGUGGAAUCCUGGUGUAGCGGUGGAAUGCGCAGAUAUCAGGAGGAACACCAACGGCGAAGGCAGCUCGCUGGGACGGUACUGACACUGAGGCGCGAAAGCGUGGGGAGCGAA